ACGCUCGACACCUACGGGAGGCAGCAGUGGGAAAUAUUGCACAAUGGGGGAAACCCUGAUGCAGCGACGCCGCGUGAGUGAAGAAGUAAUUCGUUAUGUAAAGCUCUAUCAGCAGGGAAGAAAGUGACGGUACCUGAGUAAGAAGCCCCGGCUAACUACGUGACAGCAGCCGCGGUAAUCUGAGCGGGCUGGCAAGGC
rnacentral:rRNA from 1 species